UGUGCCGUCGUGACCCGAAAUAUAGUGAAGCUAAUUUGUCUGCCAGUCCACGUCUGCCUAUUUUAGGAACAAUCAAUUUUAUCCGACAUUUCGAAACUAUUUUGCUGCCUGAAAGAAGACGCUGUUACGAUGAACUUUUCCAACAAAAAUAUGUUAUUUCGCCUAUAUCUCAUGGGAUUUACAUGCACCUUGGCGCUCGACGCUAGCCAAAAUACUGUGAAGGGCACUUGUACCUUCGAAGUUCAAGCCAAACCAAAGGGAAAUCAUCUAUGAUCGACCAAGCUGAGGAGCCUACUCAAGCACCUUCUACGUCAAUGCGAGGUCUAAAGUACUGCGUUGACGUCGGAUUCCGAUGCACUUUCCGGAAAUGCUGCCCACCUUAUGGAUGUGCACCCCCAAUAUAUAGGUGCAUAGUGCCGUAGCCCGUGUUCAAUGAAAUGGAAGUGAUGUGUUGAAUACGGAACAGGCCUCAAAACUUGGCGAAUAAACUGUCACAAGGAGCCUCAAAAUAACAUACAUGACACGGCUUUACAUCACACAUUCAA